rnacentral:lncRNA from 1 species
UUAAACACUCGUCCAACUAAAAAGUUCAAAAUUUGUAUCAAAAUUUCUCUGUUAUAAGGAAAAAAGUAAGGACUAAUCCUGAAGAUGAGUGGGCGAGAGCGUUGGGUUUGUUACUUCCAAUAGAGCGGCCGUUCAGCACUCAAGAUUGACGGUGCAGAAAAAAAACCCGUCUUCGGAAGAAGAGAUUUUCAAAAGACCAGGAAUGAGUUCGACAGCAACAUAAGCAAGCCA